GCCAAAGUGCCUCCUCCCCGCCCCUUGGUUCCGCCCGCGCGUCACGUGACCCCAGCGCCUACUUGGGCUGAGGAGCCGCCGCGUCCCCUCGCCGAGUCCCCUCGCCAGAUUCCCUCCGUCGCCGCCAAGAUGAUGUGCGGGGCGCCCUCCGCCACGCAGCCGGCCACCGCCGAGACCCAGCACAUCGCCGACCAGGUGCACGUCGGCGACGAGGACUUCGUACACCUGCGAGUGUUCCAAUCUCUCCCUCAUGAAAACAAGCCCUUGACCUUAUCUAACUACCAGACCAACAAAGCCAAGCAUGAUGAGCUGACCUAUUUCUGAUCCUGACUUUGGACAAGGCCCUUCAGCCAGAAGACUGACAAAGUCAUCCUCCGUCUACCAGAGCGUGCACUUGUGAUCCUAAAAUAAGCUUCAUCUCCGGGCUGUGCCCCUUGGGGUGGAAGGGGCAGGAUUCUGCAGCUGCUUUUGCAUUUCUCUUCCUAAAUUUCAUUGUGUUGAUUUCUUUCCUUCCCAAUAGGUGAUCUUAAUUACUUUCAGAAUAUUUUCAAAAUAGAUAUAUUUUUAAA
rnacentral:lncRNA from 1 species